rnacentral:lncRNA from 1 species
UGUGGCUAUAUUCAGCAUUUGGUGUUUUAGUGAUCUCAACUGUGGAAUUCAACACAUCAGAAUUCUCAAGGGUUUGUGACACGGCUUUCUCAUGAGACACAUUGCUAUGGAAGUAUGAUGGGCAUGGGACUUCCCUCCAUGUUCUCAAUUAGUUCCUUGCAAGUGUUAUUUGUGAUUCUAGAAACUAAGAAUAGUCAGCUGCUGAGACUAAACAAAAGAGAGGAAAUGUGGGUAUUGGGAGGGGGGGUUGACAUGAGGCCCUCAUCUAAAGUUUUGGCGAAUUUAGAUGGAUUCUAAUGGGCAUGAUCAGAGAAUAACUGAUUAAGGUGAUGGUCAAAGAAAACACUGACCAAUGUCCUGACCCUCAAGGUAGAGAGUAUAUGAUGAAAUCCUUCUUCUACAACACCUUGAGACCAAGCACUUAAAAUUUCUAGGCAACAACUCUUUAUAAAAUGACAAAGUUGGAACAGUGAUCAUGGCCAGAUACAAAGAGGAAAUGGAUCUCAUUUUUUGUAGCAGUCUUCGUCAGAAAACAUCCUGCAUGCUUAUGGGCAUAAAGUUAAGUUCCAGUGUAAGCAUUUUCCUCAUAAAAGUUGCAUUGCCACUUGGCUUGCUACUCUCUCAGCUAUUGGAGGUCUUCCCUGGGAACAAUAGAAGAGGCUCUUUUCCAGAGUUAAUGGAAGCCCUGUGGCAAAGGGACUGUUUCCUGGUAUUGCUUGAGAAUGGAUAUAAGAUUUUGGCACUACUUCAAGGAAAGUUAUCCCUGGAAAACCUCUACUCCAAAAAACAGAUGGCUAGGAGAAGAAGAAUAAGAUUUUAAAAUGGCUUAAAGUGGCUCGAAUUUUUCAGGACAUCAACUGGAAGCUUUUUUAUGAUAAAAGAAAAGGAGGCUGAGUAAUGAAUAUCCAUUUUUUCUUUUUUUUAACCUUUUUCAUUAAAACCACAAAUUUAUCACCUCAA